UACGAAGGGGGCUAGCGUUGCUCGGAAUCACUGGGCGUAAAGCGCACGUAGGCGGUCUCUUAAGUCGGGGGUGAAAUCCUGGAGCUCAACUCCAGAACUGCCUUCGAUACUGGGAGUCUUCGAGUUCGGGAGAGGUGAGUGGAACUGCGAGUGUAGAGGUGAAAUUCGUAGAUAUUCGCAAGAACACCAGUGGCGAAGGCGGCUCACUGGCCCGAUACUGACGCUGAGGUGCGAAAGCGUGGGGAGCAAACAGG
rnacentral:rRNA from 1 species